UUCCAGGGGCGGGAAUCGAACCCACAACGUUCCGCUUACCGGGCAGAUGCCAUGUCCACUAAGCUACCCUUGA